rnacentral:lncRNA from 1 species
UUUGUUCUUCCCCGCACCGGGCUGGCCACUGGCAAGGCGGGGCGGGGCCGGUCAUGGCGACCGGGGAGCUCCGUGGGCAUGUGGUGCGGAUGUCCACGCAGGGGUCCCAGCCUGGUGCGGCUCCCGACAGCGUGGCAGGAGCUGCGGGGCUGCCCUCCAGACAGAGCGGCGACGCGGCCCUCCGGCUCGGGGAACGCCCGCUCCCCGCCACGGAGAAGCGUGGACCCUACUUGGUGACGCGCGCACCUUCCAUUCAGGCUAAGCUGAAGAAACAUCGGGACCAUGCCAAGGCCGUCCUACGGAGAAAGGGCAUGCUGGGUGCCUUGACGAACCGCCCCGAUUCUUCAGGGAAAAGGUCUCAGUGGGCA